UACGGAGGGUGCGAGCGUUGUCCGGAAUCACUGGGCGUAAAGGGCGCGUAGGCGGUGCGGUAAGUCACCUGUGAAAACUCUGGGCUCAACUCAGAGCCUGCAGGCGAAACUGCCAUGCUUGAGUGUGGGAGAGGUGCGUGGAAUUCCCGGUGUAGCGGUGAAAUGCGUAGAUAUCGGGAAGAACAUCGGUGGCGAAGGCGCUCUGCUGGACCAUAACUGACACUCAGGGACGAAAGCGUAGGGGAGCGAAUGGG
rnacentral:rRNA from 1 species